UACGUAGGGAGCGAGCGUUGUCCGGAUUUACUGGGUGUAAAGGGUGCGUAGGCGGCCUGGCAAGUCAGUUGUGAAAACUAUGGGCUCAACCCAUAGCCUGCAAUUGAAACUGUUGGGCUUGAGUGAAGUAGAGGUAGGUGGAAUUCCCGGUGUAGCGGUGAAAUGCGUAGAGAUCGGGAGGAACACCAGUGGCGAAGGCGACCUACUGGGCUUUAACUGACGCUGAAGCACGAAAGCAUGGGUAGCAAAC
rnacentral:rRNA from 1 species